CGCACGACCCAAGCCCAACCAGCACCUAUCUACUACCUCCCCUGAUCCCCUCACUCUCUCCACUCCCAGACUCCCAGUCCACUCACGAUGGCAGAUCUCGGCGAGUCACCCACCCCACCGCCUCCGCUCUCGCCCAUACAGUCGGCGACCUCGUCUUGCACCGCCACCCCAUCUCAUCCCCUCCCCAACUCCCCUCCACUCAUCUGACGGCGGCUAGAGACGCACACAACCGGCGACCAACAUCAAACAAAGGUCGCCACCGCCGGCGGUGGAAGGACAGUCUUCUCCCACCGCUAGCCGCAGCCUCCGCCUCUCCCUGAUCCUCGGCCUCCUCGACCGCCGCUCGCUCUCCUAGGAAGCACCUCGCCGCCUCCCUGCCCAUGCCGUCUUCGCCGACUGCCCUGCUCGCGCCGACCUUGCGAAUCUCGCGGCCGCGCUUGGCAGUGCUCGACUUGUCCUCGCCGCCGCCAGCGGCGACGGGUCCUUCCCGUGCCUCUACCGCCUCGGGGCCGAGUCCUCCUCUCCCCAAAUCGACACCCGCCCCUUUGUCGAGCCUGCCGUGCCAGCGACAUGAGAAGGAUGGUGGCCGUCGAGGCUUCGGAUGCGGUCGACGCAGAUGAGAACAGUUCAUAGAGCCGUACCAGGCAGAACAAGUUGUUCCACGCAUGGGGUCUGAUUUAAAUAUUUUCGGAGACGCAUAAUAUGCCAAACACUUCUAAAGGUGCCUCGUCCAUGGGCGCAUGAUAGUGGAAAAACAUCUGUAAAUUGUGCAGGAUCCUAUAGAGCAAAUGGGCAUCAUCGACGUGCAGUACACGCUCUCUUAGGCAGAUAAGUAACCUCAGACAACUUAUUUUGUGAAGACCGGUGGUUCAUGGUCUGAAAGUUUUGUUUUUCUCUCUAAAUUUUUUACUUAGAUAAUCCCUUAAAUGCUUUUUACUGCUUGAUCACAUAAUACAUGUCCGUGCAAGAAAGGAGUUGUUAACUAAAACAAUAAUGUUAAUUUUUGUUGUUAGCUGAAACAAUAAUGUUAAUUUUUGUUAACUACAAAUUGUCUUGGACAUUGGUUUUUUCAAAUUAACUCCGUGUUGAACUGGUUCUUCUUGUUGUGUGCUGCAGCCCAGCAUUCUGUUCAUGCCAAAUGAUUGAGUCCUGGUGAGGUUCAUUGCUGAACAUGCAUGGUCUCCGCAGGCAAGGAACACAUAAAAGUAAUUCAGUGUGUUAUUAGAAACUCAUGAGCAUGAAAGAGAAAUUUGGAUCAUGUUCGAACAUGGGUAGAGAGCAGAUCAAGGAGAACUUGAAGAUUAAAGGCAAUGAAAGGCCUGGGAGAUGAUCAGAUGGAUAUAAUGGAUGCAACAUGAACGCAAGAGAUAUGGCGAACUUGAAGGCAUGAAUAAGAAGGUACUUUAAUUCAAAGCAUCAACAGUCAAUCAUUGAGUUCCUCGACUUUAUUCUAUCUUGAACUUUAAGCAGAUCUUGAACUUUAAUCUAAACAUAGAACACAUUCAGCAAAAGGCACAUGUAGAGUGCCCGUUAGUGGUUACUACAGUUGGGUAUUUAUUGGUCUAAAUUGUACAGUGCGUUUUAUACAUGUCAAGCUGAAACCUGCACAAUGAUCCUCUUAUUCUACCCCACUGAACUACCGAUAAAUAUUGAUUAUACUGAACUCUGUUCUUUCUUUGUUGAAUAAGAACUCAUCUUUUCUCCUUUUUCCUUGGUGUUAGACCAACUGCUGUAGCAGUGGCUACUGUUUCUACUCCAAGAGUGGAAUCCUGAGUUCUGAUGUUAUGGAAUAUUCCUUUGGCAGGCUUAGGCUCGGUUAGAUUGCUUGUGAUGCCUGUCUUUCCUCUUUUACCUUGAUAUAUGUUUCAGACACAUGAGAACCUGGAACACAUAGCAAUGAUGGAGAGGGUUUUGGGACCCGUACCAGAGCACAUGAUAUGGAACGCUAGGAUUACUUUUAGAACCAAACCCUUAUUAUUGGGCUUGUUUCUCAAGAGAAUGGCAAUAUCUCCACUUGUAUCCUGGAAGUCCAGGGUUUGAGUCAGUAUCCUUAAAAAAUCAAACAAGGGAAAUGUUGGAUAUGUGAUACCUGGAGGGCGGAUCUUGUACACCGUUGAAGCUGGCGCCAUGUCCUGGACCUGUCUAGCGUCAGGUCCAGAAGGGGAUCCGCGCCGGCGCAAUGGAUACCGGCGGUUUUGAUCCGCGCCGGAUCCUCGAAGCGCUCAGCGGGGAGUUGUGCCACGGACCAGCGCCGGAGCAAUGGAGGGAUGGCGGGGAAGGACCGAUGGGCGGCGGCGGGCGAAGGAGGGCACUCGCAAGAUCCACACGAGACCUCGCUCGAGGGCACGAGUACUCGUUCGAGACCAAUGCCGUUUUUUUCGCUGGUUAAUCUUUGACGGUCUGUGGCCAGCGGUUUUUUAGUUUUUUUUUUGCGUUCAUCUCAGAUGAUAAGAAUGGGAGGUUGUGCCGGUGCGGGACUCCAUCGCGGGUUUUUUUUUUGGUUUUCCGCGGUUGGGAGGGAGGUGGGAAGUAGUACCAAAGAAGUACCAAAAUAGACCGGGUUAGGUGGGACGAAAAUAAAACUCGGAACGCGACCUACCAACUGAGACAUUAGGAGUAGAGAUUU